UAUGCGCGGUUAUUAAAAAAUUGUGUAAAGUAGAGGUAUAUUGGAAUAAUUCAAUGAUUAAAAGUACAAUUUUACUUUAAAAAAAAUAAUAUUGUAUAUGUGGGGUGAAGAAAGUAAGAAGGAAAAAGAAGAGAGAGGAGAGAAAGUAAUAAUAAGUAUUAGAAAACCAUUAAAAUAGUACUAAAAGUACAAAUGCACUUGGAAAAGUAAAGAUAUUUGAGUAUUUAAAUUGUAAAGCAAGGCUAAUUUUGUUUAUAAUUUAUGACUAAAAAAGGAAAGAUACUAAAUGUAAAGAAUAAAAAAGAACACCUAAGAUGGAAACGUAAAAAAUAAAAGGGAACGAAGGGAGUAUUAAUUUAGGAAUGUAUGAAAAAUUACUCGCAAAUCAGUGUAAUUAAUGAAGAUAUUAUAUUAAUAUUUUUUUCUUUUAGGGAUAUGAAUAACAUUUUUCUAUAAAAAAUUAACAAAUUAUGAAGUGCUGCUUUUAUAUGAUAUCGUAGCAUUUGUUGUAUAGCAAAUGAAUUUUUAUGUACUAGUUGUCGUCGCUCCAAAACUAUAUGCCAAAGCCUGACUAAUCGUGUAUACAUGCUUAUUCCACAGGUGGGACUUGAGUUCAAUGGAGAAAUUUCCCGCAAAUUAUAUGAAAGUCAUGUACGAGUUUGUCAUUAAUACUUUAGAUGAUGUUGCCAAGGAGAUGACCAGCAUUGGAAAGCCAUACGCUGGUAUUUUUGCAAGAGAACAAGUGCAGAGAUUGAUAAGAAACUACUUUACUGAGGUGAAAUGGGUCAAGUCAAAAUAUGUGCCAACAUUUGAAGAAUACAUGUUCAAUGGGAGGAAUACCUCCUGCUCGCAGUUAAUUGAAACUCUAUGCUUGAUGGGUAUGGAAGAGAUUACAGAAGUUAAACCUUUAUAUACAGUUAAUGCAGUAUAAUACGACGACCAUGGCUACUGCAAACAUUGGCCGACUCAUGGAUGACAUGACCACUUGCGAGGCAGAGCUAGCUAGAGGUGUGCGCCUUGCCUCAAGUGUGGAAUGCUACAUGAAGGAUUAUAAUACGAGUUAGGAAGAAGUGUUGCAAAUAUUUACGAAAAUUAUUGAUGACGCAUGGAAAGAUCUAGUAAACGAGGGGUUGCGAGCCAACUCAUCCAUUGGCGGACUUGGCCUUAUGCCUGGUGGGUCAAAUGACUCACCAGGGCCCAAAAUAUUUUUUAAGUUUUUUAAAAAAAA